GGCAGCCUUGAGAGAGAAGGCAUAAGAAACCCCAGAGAGACUGCAAGGGACUGCAGAGGAGAGCUGAGCCUGGGUGAAAGGAGCUGACAGACCUGUCAGCUCAGUUAAGGAGCCUCAUGCUCUGUGGUGUCUGCCGGGGUUCCAUCUCCCAAGGAGAAGAGCUCUGAGUGAAGAGGCUUGCAGCUCUGCAUCCCCCACCCAGCGCAUACGCGCAGGCUUUCUCUGAGGAUGCAGCUCAUUACUGGCUAUUAUUUUCUUUUCUUCACCUGGAGAAAUCCUGGGACUCUUGACAGCAGCAGGGAGAGUUUUAGAUGUGACUGCCAGACUCCUGCUGGUCUCAGGUCCAGAGCCCUGGCCGCACCCCCCCCCCCUUCCUCAACCAACGUCUUACCAGUCUUCCUCAACCAACGUCAACUCCCAGGGCUGACACCUUGGAACAUGGCCUCUCUCAAGCCUCAAGCCCCAAGCUGAGCUCCUGUCCCUACCUCAGGCAGGAUCUCACGGAUGCUUCUAAUGAAGUUCUCUCCGACUCUGUCUGAGCACCCACCACGCGAGGAAGGAGCUGCGGCCGACGGCCCUCAGCCCCGGCUGCUGACAGCAGCGAUCCAUCUCCAUCACCGUAAUGGCGUCCCCAUUAAUCGGCCAUAAACUAAUAAAGCAAGCACUUUCCACCCCUCAGCCCCCCCACCCCAACUUCAUUAAGUCUUUAGUACAUUAAUAUGUCUUACUUAGUGUCAGCUAAGCCUCUUUCUCUGUUUGGGGUGGAGCUUGAUAGGGUGGGCAUCUCACCCGGUGGACCGGAGACAUGACCCAUUCCCGGGCCUGGGCAGAGGGGCUGCUGACUCAGGACCACCCACUCCUCCCCACCUCCUCCCCGCUCCAAUUGCUGCCCC
rnacentral:lncRNA from 1 species